CGCCGCGCCUGCUGGCCGCGCACUCGCCCGCGCCCUCCUCCGCCUCCGAGCGCUCGCUGCGCGCGCCGCUCGCCGUCAGGUGACACACACCGCACACCGCAUCACUAGGUGGUGAUGCCAGUAGCAUGUCCUAAAUAUAUUUGCGUCAUGAAACCGGGAAACAACAAAAGAAGAGGAUGCAGUUGAACCUGUCAUAGUACCAACAUUACGGCCUUCCGGUCCCGCGCGAUCAACUUUAGCCAUUCGUUAAUCAACCGUCGAGCGGAGCGGAUGCGUCCUUUAUAUGAACAAAAACACUCAAAAAAAUAACUGAAUCUCCACAUCACCAUUUAGUUAUUUACGAAUUUCUUUUAUAGUAUUUUAAUUAUAAGACUUGUAGGUAAUCUCGUUGCAAUAGUCUUCCGUUCGUAAGCGUAAUAUCGAAGCUUUAAUCUAGGGUUAACUGUAUUCUUACUAACUUCUAGACCUAAGGAAGGUGCUAGUAUAUUUAAAUUAUUCGUUAAGUAACUUUAUACCGUUUGAUAUGUUACACCAUAUGAAAAAUUAUAUAUUAAAUAUGCAUGAAAAAACUAUUUCAGCAAUACUGUGUCUGCACCAAUACCUUAAUUUGAAAACCAACUGACUACGUGUUUUUAAAUAACGCAAAAUAUAUAAAAAAUUACAGUUUUAUAACUUUCUAAUAACAGUGAAAAUUAUGUCAUAAAGUGUUUGGAUAACACUUAUAUAUAACAACAGAGUAAAAAUCAAUAAUCGUUUAUCCAUUGCAAUAAUUCACGAAAUUCAAAUUUCGCUAACAAUAAGUGUAAUACUGUGUAUAAUAAUAUCAUAAAACUGUUAUUUUCAGCGUCUUCUGAAUACUACUAUUGAGUUGGUUUUAAAAUGAAGGUAUUGUUAUAUGUGAUUAAUAAAAUGGAUAUUAAAAACUAGUUGCCCCGCGCGGUUUUGCCUAACUUACAUCCAAUCCCAUGAAAUAUCGGGAUAAAAUAGGAUUCAUAUGUUGUUCUAAAUCUCCAGUUAUCUACAUACCAAGUUUCAAUUUAAAUGUAUUUUAUUAUGUGAAAGAGUAACAAAAAUCAAUCCAAACUUUCACAUUUAUAAUAUAAAUGGAUGGACGGGGUCCGGGGACGGGGUAUGGGGUCCCCAUAAGGGCGAGGUCGUAAGUAGGUUAACGGCUCUGUGCCUAAUGGUCAUACAUCGAUUACUUCUAUGUACACGCCUUUACAAAUAUAAAAGAAAUGUUUACACAAAGCAAAAUCAAUGAAGAACUACGAUUACUUACUACUAACCUGUUUCACUUACUGGUAAAGUUUAUCUCGUACAUAAGUUUCUGGUAAGGCUUUAUCGACAGGAUGUGUAAAAGGCUCUCAGGGCCUGUUUUGUUUCAACAAAGAUUUUUUUUUGGAUUUACAAAGUAUUAACGUAACGCACCUGCUAAUCCUCUGAUGUUGCGGGUGUCUAUGGAUGUUGUUUUCACUUACCACCAGGUGACUCAACUGUCCGUUUGCCCCCUCUUCUAUAAAAAAAUGAAAAUAUGUUAUAGGAAUUUCAUUGUGAAAAAGAAAAAUAAUAAAAUUCAUAAUUAACUUUUAUCUGUUGGAUACCGUUAUAAGUCAGAUAACUUUAUCAGCAAUUGAAAAACAGACCUUUGAGGUAUUUAAUAUAUUAAUAACUUUUAAUGUCCGUAAAUACUCAUAACGUGGUUCUAUAUAGUUUCAUAGUGACUAGCAUAAAAUAAUCUGUACAAUAAAAAUGUCUACACCAUGUAUAUUUGCAAUUUGUAACAUCACUGGCCAUAUUCAGCGUUGUCUUUAUAUUUAUUAAUAAAAAAAGUAAAAUAAUUGUAUAAUGCUCAAUUUAAAUAAUGUAUUUUUAAAUGUAACAAAAAUAUAAAAAAUAAUUUUAAACAUUAUAUAGUGAAGAUUUUUUUUAAAUGUAUUUUUUGACAUUUAACAUUGAAUUUCACACAAGGAAUCCUAGUGUGGUAAUCACUAAUUAAUUUUAUUUUACUAUUGAAGAAAUAAAUAGUGCUGGUAACAUAGACUUCAUUAAAAAACAUUAUCCUUGCUAGUGACAGAAAGAAAUCAUGGUCUAACGUGCUCGUAUUAACAGAAUAUAAUAUAAAUUUAAGUAUUAUUCUAAUAUAUUAAUGAUUACUGUAAAAUUAAUGGAACGCUAUAUUCAUUAAUAUUAAGUACUGUAAAUACACAUCGAAUGGUGCAUGUAAAUUUGUUUAGAUGUCGAUUAUUUUAUUGUAAUAAACAUUGGUAUUUUAUUUUGUUUGUUUAAUUUUUACCAACUUAUCCUAUAAUUUGAUAUAAGUUAUCUUCUUCUAAUAUAUAGAAUUCUCGUGUCAUGGUGUUAAACAUUGAACUCCUCCGAAACGAUUCGACCGAUUUUAAUAAAAUUU
rnacentral:misc_RNA from 1 species